GGGCGUGUAGGCGGCCUGGGGCGUCCCAUGUGAAAGACCACGGCUCAACCGUGGGGGAGCGUGGGAUACGCUCAGGCUAGACGGUGGGAGAGGGUGGUGGAAUUCCCGGAGUAGCGGUGAAAUGCGCAGAUACCGGGAGGAACGCCGAUGGCGAAGGCAGCCACCUGGUCCACCCGUGACGCUGAGGCGCGAAAGCGUGGGGAGCAAACCGGAUUAGAUACCCGGGUAGUCCACGCCCUAAACGAUGCGCGCUAGGUCUCUGGGUCUCCUGGGGGCCGAAGCUAACGCGUUAAGCGCGCCGCCUGGGGAGUACGGCCGCAAGGCUGAAACUCAAAGGAAUUGACGGGGGCCCGCACAAGCGGUGGAGCAUGUGGUUUAAUUCGGAGCAACGCGAAGAACCUUACCAGGCCUUGACAUGCUAGGGAACCCGGGUGAAAGCCUGGGAUGCCCCGCGAGGGGAGCCCUAGCACAGGUGCUGCAUGGCCGUCGUCAGCUCGUGCCGUGAGGUGUUGGGUUAAGUCCCGCAACGAGCGCAACCCCCGCCGUUAGUUGCCAGCGGGUGAGGCCGGGCACUCUAACGGGACUGCCCGCGAAAGCGGGAGGAAGGAGGGGACGACGUCUGGUCAGCAUGGGCCCUUACGGCCUGGUGACGCACGUGCUACAAUGCCCACUACAAAGCGAUGCCACCCGGCAACGGGGAGCUAAUCGCAAAAAGUGGCCCAGUCGGAUUGGGGUCUGCAACCCGACCUCAUGAAGCCGGAAUCGCUAGUAAUCGCGGAUCAGCAUGCGCGUGAUACGUUCCCGGGCUUGUACACACGCCGUCGCGCAUGGGAGCGG
rnacentral:rRNA from 1 species